UAGGGAAUAUUGGACAAUGGGGGCAACCCUGAUCCAGCCAUGCCGCGUGAGUGAAGAAGGCCCUCGGGUUGUAAAGCUCUUUUGUCCGGAAAGAAAAGCUUCGGGUUAAUACCCCGGGGUUCUGACGGUACCGGAAGAAUAAGCACCGGCUAACUUCGUGCCAGCAGCCGCGGUAAUACGAAGGGUGCAAGCGUUACUCGGAAUUACUGGGCGUAAAGCGUGCGUAGGUGGUUGUUUAAGUCUGAUGUGAAAGCCCUGGGCUCAACCUGGGAAUGGCAUUGGAAACUGGGCAGCUAGAGUGCGGUAGAGGGUAGUGGAAUUCCCGGUGUAGCAGUGAAAUGCGUAGAGAUCGGGAGGAACAUCUGUGGCGAAGGCGGUCUCUUAGUCCGACACUGACGCUGAGGCGCGAAAGCGUGGGGAGCAAAC
rnacentral:rRNA from 1 species